ensembl:snRNA U4 U4 spliceosomal RNA
AGCUUUGCGCAGUGGCAGUUUCGGAGCCAAUGAGGUUUAUCCGAGGCGCGAUUAUUGCUAAUCGAAAUUGAAAAUGUAAUUGGAAUUAUUCUUCUUUUUCAAUAUUAUUUUUGCUGUAACUCAUAUCUC